rnacentral:lncRNA from 1 species
UUUCUACUUAGAAAAAACAUCUGUUUAUUAUAUGUAUUAUUUCUCAUCAAAUGUUGCAACAAUCAUGGUCUACAAAACUUCAUUUUCUCAAAAUAUUUAUUAUUAAGGUGAGAAGAUGAACUCUUACACAAAUAUCAGCAUCAAAUUGAUGAAAUUAAUUCAAUCAUAUGAUUAUAAGAAUAUAUAUAAUAAUCUUAUUUAAGAUAUAUUAUAUUCACUGCAAGAAAAGACAUGCAUAAAAUGCAGAUGGAAUAGGCUAUUACAAACAUAUUUCAAAUUUACAAAGUUAUCUCCCUCAAUCUAGGUUUUCUGUAAAAAAAAAAUCAAUCAUUGUAUGAUAUUCUAUGAAAAGUAACCAUUACUGAUACCAGGAGUAUAAUUGUGUACGCCAGACUGAGACAUGCAUUGGAAUUACAAAAUACUCAAAUGUUUGAAUGAAUCAUUCAAACCGAUAAAAUUCAAUAAAUCAAAUUCAUUCUCAGCAGUUUUUUUCAUUGCAAAAUGUGAAUCUGAAUGACAUGAAUAAUACUAAUUAUACCAUAAUUCAUACAAAAAAUGUGAAAAUGUUAAACCAACCUCUACAUACAGUGCUCGGUCAUAUUACAAUAACAAAAUAUAAAACUAGCAUCUAAUAUCAAUAUAAGUCAUUGGAUUUUCUCAACCAUACAUAUGCAGACAUAAACACUCACAGUUACAAAGCAAAUACCACUUUAGUCAAAGUUUAAAUGUAAAAAAAAAUCUGGAUUUUUAGAAGGUACAUGUAGGUCAGUUUUGCAUAAUCAGCAAAUUUUAAACCUUAAACAUGAAAAGUGUUAUGGCAGAAUACAAAGUUUUAUAAGUAAAAGAGAGGAAUUUUCAAAUAGUGUUUGCAUAAUCAUUUAUACCCAUCGAUAAAAUAUAAAUCCAAAGAUUCAAACAUUUAAUUGUACAUUUAGUCAGACCAUGUGUGCCACAAAAUGAAAAAAAAUUGCAAGAUAUAUCUAUGAACAGUGAAGAACAUACAACAAAAGGUUAGGGACAACAUCAAAAGAUUGAUGUAGGAUAAAAAACUUAAAUCAAAUAGUUUGGGGGUGUGGGGGUCAACAUUGAUGCAAGUUUUGUUAUUCCAAAAUCAAUUUUACAUAUAUCCAUAAAGGUAAAUCAAUUUUUCUCAAAUUAAGUUAAAAAAGGGGGGUGGGGUCAGUGAAAAACUAUGUGAAUUAAGUUUUUUAUCCUACAUUGAACUUUUGAUGUCGUCCCUUAUACAUAGUAGAAGUACACACAUACACAUAAGAAUUUAUUAAGGUAUAAUAUAUAGCAUAAUAUUUUUUUCAAUACUGGUUAACUACAGAAAGACAAUACUCCUUUUCAUUUUGAUUUGUUUGAAAGUACACAAAAAUAGUGUGGUAUAAAUAUUUACCUUACUCUUUCAAUUUCUACAUUAUUACACACAAGAAGAUUAUGCAAUUCAGCACACAUGCAUUUUUUUGAUACACAAUGUACAAAAACAGUAUUCUUUUGGUGUUUAUAUCCAUCAAAAAGUUUUAAUUCAUAUUUUCCUAAAUUUUAAUAUUUGAAUUCUUUUGAAGUCUUGCUAACUAUUUUUUCCAAGCAAAUGUUACAAUUUUAAUAGUAAAGAAUGUACCUCUUGAUAGAAUUUUCAUAUCUGAUCCCACUUUUGAUAGAUCCCUUAGCCCUGCAAAAAAUAACCAAAAAUCAUGAAAGACUAUACAAAACAAAAACAGCAAAACAAAAAUCAUUAGCAUUAAAAACAAAAUAGCUUAGUACGUACAUGCGUAACUAGACAUCACAAAUGUUAAAAAAAUAUGAUGAAAAUGAGUCAAUUAUAUUUUAUCAACCAGUGCAUUGCACUGAAUUGAAACAGUAAAAAAAAUUAUAUAUAAAAUUUAUAAUAAUAAUCAACCUCACACCACUAUUGUUUCUUUUCAUUGCUAUAGGAUUGAACACACUUGUACAGUAUAAAUAUAGCCAUAAUAAAAUUAAUUCCAAAAUUCAAACUCCUGUUCUUACAACCCACAAUAUUCUCAUAUUAAGAAGUAAUCCUGAUCUUAUCUUACAUUCUUACAAUUUUAAAUGGACGUCUAACCAAAGUAAAUAAAAAAACCAAAAAAACUAAGGAAUUAAUUUUAAAUGACCUUUAAUAAAUUUAUAUAACAUUAAAAUAUCAGCUGCAUUUUAUUAAUAUCACAUAAUAUGGAAUGGCAAAAUUCUACUAGUACAUCACAUUAGAGUGAAAGGUCACUUCAGGGGUCAAAACCAAUCACCUACAAAUAUGUACAACUGUAAACUUGAUUUGGGCUAUUCCAAAUGAAAGUUUGGGGGAGGGGAAACAUUUAAUCAUUGGACAUGGAUCACAACAUGUUCGUAUUGGGGGUGGGUUGUGGAUGUUUUAAUGACCUAGACUGGCCUAUACAGCCCUUUAUAUAUAUAUCUGCUUGUCAAUGAAAACUAACUACUAUAUAAAAUAAGGACUCUGGUUAUAUUGCUUUACAUUUAUAAUUAUUUCAGUUUUACAUGAUAAAUAAGAUAUUAAAAGGUAGUAGUAAUACAAAAUGGACAUUUUUAAAUCCAAAACAUGUUAUUCUUUUCAAGAACAAUUGACAAUGUACAUACACUCAAUACAAAUGAUCCCUAAUUUAUCAUAUUAACAAGUUAAUGUAUCUAUGUUGAGCAUAAGUGAAAGAACAAAUUAAAUAUUGCACCCAUUAUCAAUAUUAGAACAGUGUUUUCUACAGAUGAUCAAUGCUAUACUCUUCUCUAUUACUUGUGCAGCUAGUUUACAACCAAUAAAUUAAUGCAAAUUUUAAAACCUAAAAUUAAAAGAAAUUGAAUAUUUACUAAUUAAAUAAAUCUCUGACCUACAAAACAGAGGUUACUAAAUUUGACAUUUUUCAGGUCAACUUUUAUUUUGUCAGACUCUCUGAUAGUAGAUAGAAAUUUAUAACAAAACUGCUAAUUCAUUAUAUGACAUAUAUAUAUAUAUAUAUCAACAUACAUGUGAUGGACUGUGAAACUCAGAUCAGGAGAUUUGGAAAUUUUGGUCAAGAGAUUAGGAUUCAGAUCAGGAGGUUUUUUAUCGACAUAAAUUUUGUCGUAAAUGUAACCGUAUGAUGUAGAAAUUGUGUUUUUUCUUCAAAUUUCCAUCAAAUUGUAAUAUGUUUAUAGUACAGUAGUAAGAAAUGAUCAAAUAUGGGGUCUGAACAUUUUUAUUUAUGAAAUAUUUCAUACACUGGAUUUUUUUCUCCUAACAGGAGGACAGGAGACCCCUGAAAACGGGAUUAUUGUACUCCCGUCGGGAGGUUCACAUGUAUGAAUACACCUUAAGCAAAAGAUUAACAAUACAUCUGUAUGUAACAGUUUGAAAAAUGAGUUGAUUUAAGAAUCCUACUAAACAAAUCAAAAUUCAUCAUUUAUUUCGUAUUUGAAUCAAUCAGUCUUUUGCAUGUACAUGUAAUGCACUGACAUAAGGUUGAUUUCUACCUGACACAAUGCUCAUAUUCAAUCUCGCCAGAUUGUUUUUAAAACUGUCUAUCAUUGGAUGUUAAAAAGUAUUUACAAAAUUUACAGUGUUCAGACCAAAACAUUUUCUGGCUAUGUCAUUAUAAACAUGUUUUUACAUUUUACUUUUUAUUCAUCCUAUUAAAGCUACUAUUAUAAUGUAAAGCAUAAGUCUAGUGAGACAGAAACUAAUAAAACAUUGUCAAUUCAUGUGUAAUUCUAAAAACGUGUUCCUCAUCAAAAUACAUUAAAAAAAAAAAGAAUUGAAACAAUUUUUAAAUGCAAAUUUUUCAGCGUAAUUCCUUAGAGACUUGUUUUCAUCUUAUAUAUCAGUAAAUUCAGAAAUUUGCUAUGCUUUUCAUAUUGAAUUCAAUUGCAAAACAGGUUUCACUUUAAUACAAAAAUGUAAA